GAUGAACGCUGGCGGCGUGCUUAACACAUGCAAGUCGAACGGGGUGCUCAUGACGGAGGAUUCGUCCAACGGAUUGAGUUACCUAGUGGCGGACGGGUGAGUAACGCGUGAGGAACCUGCCUUGGAGAGGGGAAUAACACUCCGAAAGGAGUGCUAAUACCGCAUGAAGCAGUUGGGUCGCAUGGCUCUGACUGCCAAAGAUUUAUCGCUCUGAGAUGGCCUCGCGUCUGAUUAGCUAGUAGGCGGGGUAACGGCCCACCUAGGCGACGAUCAGUAGCCGGACUGAGAGGUUGACCGGCCACAUUGGGACUGAGACACGGCCCAGGCUCCUACGGGAGGCAGCAGUGGGGAAUAUUGGGCAAUGGGCGCAAGCCUGACCCAGCAACGCCGCGUGAAGGAAGAAGGCUUUCGGGUUGUAAACUUCUUUUGUCGGGGACGAAACAAAUGACGGUACCUGACGAAUAAGCCACGGCUAACUACGUGCCAGCAGCCGCGGUAAUACGUAGGUGGCAAGCGUUAUCCGGAUUUACUGGGUGUAAAGGGCGUGUAGGCGGGAUUGCAAGUCAGAUGUGAAAACUGGGGGCUCAACCUCCGGCCUGCAUUUGAAACUGUAGUUCUUGAGUGCUGGAGAGGCAAUCGGAAUUCCGUGUGUAGCGGUGAAAUGCGUAGAUAUACGGAGGAACACCAGUGGCGAAGGCGGAUUGCUGGACAG
rnacentral:rRNA from 1 species